GGGUCGGCUCGCCUAUUGGUGUGGGCAACUGUCUGUAAAACAGUCGCGUUCAGUUUUGCUGGUUCAAUUCCAGCCUGACCCA
rnacentral:tRNA from 1 species